GACGAACGCUGGCGGCGUGCCUAAUACAUGCAAGUCGAACGCAGUUGGGACGGGUGAGUAACCCGUGGGUAACCUCCCAUCAGAGGUGAUAACACUUGGAAACAGGUGCUAAACCGAUACUGAUGGAUGGACCCUCGGUUCAUUAGCUAGUUGGUGAGGGAACGGCUCACAAAGGCGACGAUGCAUAGCCGACAUGAGAGGGUGAUCGGCCACACAGGGACUGAGACACGGCCCAGACUCCUACGGGAGGCAGCAGUAGGGAAUCUUCGGCAAUGGACGAAAGCCUGACCGAGCAAUGCCGCGUGGGUGAAGAAGGUUUUCGGAUCGUAAAGCUCUGUUGGUAGGGAAGCGGUAUCUAACCAGGAAGCCACGGCUAACUACGUGCCAGCAGCCGCGGUAAUAC
rnacentral:rRNA from 1 species